GCAGCACUCUACGGUCUUCAGGCAGCACUCUACGGUCUGUAGGCAGCACUCUACGGUCUGUAGGCAGCUCGCUACGGUCUGUAGGCAGCACUCAACGGUCUGUAGGCAGCUCGCUACGGUCUGUAGGCAGCACUCUACGGUCUGUAGGCAGCUCGCUACGGUCUGUAGGCAGCACUCUACGGUCUGUAGGCAGCUCGCUACGGUCUGUAGGCAGCACGCUACGGUCUGAAGAAGAGCAAAUAAAACAUGCUGCAUUUGUGUAAAGGGCUAUUCAUUACUAAAACAUGCAUCAUCAAUUACUUAUUAACAUAUAUGAUUUAUGCAUUAAACUUAUUUUAAUAACAGACAGAUCACAGACAGUUUAGAAGGUGAGAGAGUGAGACAGGUGAGAGGAGCAGACAGACAGACAGGUGAGAGGAGCAGACAGACAGACAGGUGAGAGGAGCAGACAGACAGACAGGUGAGAGGAGCAGACAGACAGACAGGUGAGAGGAGCAGACACACUGACAGUUGAGAGGAGCAGACACACUGACAGGUGAGAGGAGCAGACAGACAGACAGGUGAGAGGAGCAGACAGACCGACAGGUGAGAGGAGCAGACACACCGACAGGUGAGAGGAGCAGACAGACAGACAGGUGAGAGGAGCAGACACACCGACAGGUGAGAGGAGCAGACAGACAGACAGGUGAGAGGAGCAGACACACAGACAGGUGAGAGGAGCAGACACACCGACGGGUGAGAGGAGCAGACAGACAGGUGUGAGGAACAGACAGGUGAGGUGCAGACAGACAGGUGAGCAGACAGACAGGUGACUGACAGUAUGUGAUCAUGUGGAAUUAUUGAGUUCUAGUCAGUUUUAUUUAUCAGUAUUAUGCAGUUUAUAUUUGAAUCGUUCAGAGGACUCUUGCCUUUAAACGAUUCAUGUUUGUUUUGCUAUUUACAAAACUGGAAUUUGAUUCUUUAAAAUGUUUUUAAUGUCCUCAAACUUUUAACUCUUUCCCAGCCAAACACGGAAUUUUCCGGGUAUCCGUGUUUUAGGUGUUAUACGGUAAGGAAGACCCGCACACAUGUUUUGAAAGAGUACGCAACUCUUUGAGCAAAGCAACAGACUGCGAUCGUCUCAAACGUGAAGUGGAACACCAUACUAAUACUAAAGCACUUGUUUGAUAAAAAUGCCUUUUUCUCAGCUUUUUGUCCAAAAUGUUGUUUUUGACAAAACCUACCUCUGUUCAAGUGGCAAUAAAAAAAGAACAAAUUAAGAUAAAAUAAAAAAAUUUUUUGCCUAAAAGCAGAGGCCCAGAUCUUUAUUUUGAUAUAUAGCAUCUUCAUAUAUUCAUGGAAGAAAAUAUUCUGCGGGCCAUUAAAGUUUAGCGAAAAUCGUCAAAAACCCUGGCGGUGGCUGGCAACUUUUUUUAAAAACGCUGGCGGGGAAAGAGUUAAAGACGGAGGUGGAUUUUUAUAAAUCAGCACCUUACAGAAAACAUGUCCUCCCACAGCUGUACACCAGUAUUAUUAUUAUUAUUAUUAUUCUGUUCUGAGUCGCAAGCGCUGUGCGUUUGUUAGUUGCUGUGUACAGUUCAGUGUUAUAUAUGCUUUUAUAUUAUAGUUAUAUAACUUAUACAUUUCAACACUACGAGUUGAUCUCCGCCGCCAAAGACCGUUUAUGGGAGAUUUAACAGAAAUGAACCAAAGUGUCCAACAGUCGAAUGUUUGUGGCUUUUGAAGGAAACUCAGUAUUAUCCGUUGUUUACAGUGGAAACACGUGUUCAAGCGUGUGUUUAUGUGAAUCAGAGCCAUGAUGCUCUUGACAAAGGGAAGAAAUCAUUUACUUACAUCAGUUAUAUGAUUUCUACUGAAUUAUUUUAAUAAAAUAUUUUCAAAAACUUGUUCUGCUGACUUUGAGUGAAGCAACACCCUCAUUGUCUAUUGUUCAGUUCAUAAACCCUGAUGAGCGACUGUUGUCCCAACACACACACACACACACACACACACGCGCACACACAUAGACAAACACACAGGAACACUCACUCACUCACACACACAUUCACUCUCUCACUCACACACACACACACUCUCACUCACACACACACUCACUCACACACACACACACUCACUCACACACACACACACUCUCACUCACACACACACUCACUCACACACACACACUCUCACU